GACGAACCGUGCGAACGUUAUUCGGAAUCACUGGGCUUAAAGCGCGUGUAGGCGGGGCGGCACGUCGGUCGCUGAAAUCCCCCGGCUCAACCGGGGAACGGGCGCCGAUACGACCGUCCUGGAGGGACGUAGGGGGACCUGGAACUUCCGGUGGAGCGGUGAAAUGCGUUGAGAUCGGAAGGAACGCCCGUGGCGAAGGCGGCUCUCUGGGCCUUACCUGACGCUGAGGAGCGAAAGCGUGGGUAGCGAACAGG
rnacentral:rRNA from 1 species